rnacentral:lncRNA from 1 species
UUUAAACACAAUCAAACAUUCUCACAAGCAGGUUAACAUCACAAGGGCUUUUCAUGGAUUGUAACUUGGCUGGGCUAAGAAGGAAAUUGGUUUUUCUGGUCAGCAAAGUUCCUUGACUUAAGAGAGACAUUUAUGAAUUUGUCAUUCAAGAUCAACUCUCUUUCUUUUUCCCAGCUUUCCCUUACUGUGAGCUGAUGAGUCGUUAUUUCUUGAACCAUAUUUAGUUUAUUGCACUUAAAUAAACCAUGGAAUUGUGUUUAAUUGUCUGUUAUUUCCCCGUUUUCCGAAUUCUGCUUAAUUUGGUCGGAAAUUCAUAUUUUCGCUAAUUUGGAUAUUUUGAGCUGAUUAAGCGUAUUUUUGGUUACAGGGAAAUUGUGGAAAUAUCAUCUGGAGCAUUAGGAUAUGGCGUGGCACAUUCAAGACUCAAUAUUUAGUCAUUUAGAUUUUAAUUAAAGUUGUAAUUUCGUUUUCUAGAAGCCCUUGAUUAGAAUUAGGUGUUUUGGACCCUUUUAAGGGCAUUUUUGUAAAAAACCAAUUGUGGGGGCCAUGUGGCAUCUCUUUAGGGCUGACUUGUAGUGUGUGGACCCCACCAAAUGUGAAACUCUUGGUAUUUGGGGUGUGAAAACUGAGCCACACAGAGAAGAGACCCAUAGCUCAUGGUUUUUGCUUCUUUCUUCUAGGGUUUCUCUUGUUUUGAACAUGCUCUCAUGGGUGCUUGCUUGGUGCACGGUUUUGGACCAUUUUCAAUGAAUAUUAUGAAGAUUUUCUUCUUCCCUUGACUCACUCUUGGUUGUCUUAACUCAUUGGUGGUGAAAAUCCAUUCAUUCCUCCUUCCAUUUGCUUGUUUUUGAUGUUUGAAGCUUAAGUUUUUAAGCUUGUCUUUGCUUUUCUAUGGUGGUUGUUGGGUUUGAGUGACUUUAUAUUUUCGUUUCCUCUUCCAUUGGUGUUGUUCCUCACGUUUUUCUUUGCAUUUUAUUUGGUUGGUUGAUGAAAAUGGAAUUCUAUGUGAGUUUUGGGUUGAAUAGAGCUUAACUUGAUGUGUGGGUGUUGUGGGUUUGGCUCUUUUCCUUCAUAUUUUGGUUUUGAUGUUUGAAACUAGUUUGGAACCAGACUUUGAUGAUCUUAUUGGGGCUGGACAGUGGUUGAGUUGAAUGGUAUAAUGAUAUUUUCGUUUUUUGCACAAGAGCUUGAAAAAAUGGAAGAUUGGGUUGAGUUGAAGUAGUAAUAGUGUGGGUUUAUUGUCUUGAAUGGAGUUGCAACUUCAAAUGGGGUCUCUUGGGUGCUCAUUCUUGCUAUUGAGGAGAGGAAGAAAGAUUAUGAAGGUGUGUGUUGGUGAAGGAAACAAAAAUGGUGUGUAGAAAGGAGAGAGAAUGAUGCAUUAAUUUUUUACCACUUUUGGGCAAACAAAAAAGAUGCUUAUUUUCAUUCUAGGAAGAUUUCCAUUUUGAGCUUUGGCUUUGUUUGAAUUCCAGCCAUGAAUUGCCUUUGCAUGGGAGGUCUUUGGUUGUUUAAUUUCAUUUGGUCUUGCCUACAUGGCACUUUGGUUGGAGCACACAAUGUAUCUUCCAUUUGCACAUGGAUUUUUGAAGUAUUUUUUGUAGGAAUCACUUGGUAGGUUAGGCAUUUUGUGGUCUAGUAGUGUGGAUUUCGAAUUUUGCUGCAUGGAGAAGACUAAGGAAUGGUUUUCAUUUGGAUGUUUAAGUAUAUUUUAAUUUCGUUUGAGAAUUGGUGCACAUGGGACAAAAGACAACACAUUUGGUGGUUAAAUGAAAAUAGAAUUUUGAAUUUGGACCUUUGAAACAUCACUAACGGCCAUGUGCUUUUAUUUGGCCAAUUGGACUUUUAAAUUCAUUUGUUAAUUGUCAUUGUUUCAAGUGAUUUGUUAGGAUUAAAUUAGGCUUGUUGGUUUCUUUUGUUUUCAAUUAAAUUGCUUAGUAGGUUGAGUUGUUUUUAUGUGUUUAAGUUAGUUUUGCAUUUAAUUAUUUUUAACUGUGUUUGCUAAUUAAUUGGUAGCAAUGUUUGAUGUUUAGAUGUUGUCUAAUUUGUUUAGUCGACUCAAUUUAAUUUCCAUGGUAGCUUN